UACGUAGGGGGCAAGCGUUGUCCGGAAUCAUUGGGCGUAAAGCGCGCGUAGGCGGCCCGGUAAGUCCGUUGUGAAAGUCAAAGGCUCAACCUUUGAACGCCGAUGGAUACUGCCGGGCUAGAGUCCGGAAGAGGCGAGUGGAAUUCCUGGUGUAGCGGUGGAAUGCGCAGAUAUCAGGAAGAACACCCGUGGCGAAGGCGGCUCUCUGGAACGCAACUGACGCUGAGACGCGAAAGCGUGGGGAGCAAACAGG
rnacentral:rRNA from 1 species